rnacentral:rRNA from 1 species
UGGGAUGGCAUUUAUGCAUUUAGUUUGUUGGGUUAGUUUUGAGGUUAUAUGAGUGGAAUCUUGACCUUGAUUGAGCCCUGUGUUGUGAUUAUGCGAAAUUGCGGUAUUAAACUAGGAUUAGAUACCCUAUUAUAAUGUAAUGUUUUUGUUUUCCUUUAAGAUUAAUAGAUGGUCUUUAAAUUAAAAGGAUUUGGCGGUAAUUUAAUCUUAUCAGAGGAACCUGCCCAGUAAACGAUAAACCACGAGGUUAAUUACUUUUAUUUUGCUUGUAUACCUCUAUUUUUGAAUAUACCGGUAGGUAAAUUUUCUUUAAUCAUUAAUUGAAUUAUUUUAGGUCAAGGUGCAGCUGUAUAAAAGGUUGAGGUGGGUUACAAUUUUGUUAUUAUUGGAUUUAGCAUUGUUAUUGUUAGUUGAAAGUGGAUUUGAAUGUAAUUUGUAUUAUCUUAUACUUGUGACUAUAGCUCUAAUUUAUGUACAUAUCGCCCGUCGCUCUCACUAAUAAGGUGAGAUAAGUCGUAACAAAGUAGAUUUACCGGAAGGUGAAUCUGGUAUU